CAAGCAGAGAAAGACUAUGCACUAUCCAUCUCUCUACUGUUUAUAUGGAUUCCACAUGUGCCUCGUGUAUAGCAAAACAACGGAAUGUUAUCAGAUUUCAGGAAAACCAAAUAAAUACAGUGUAUGGAGAUUUGAUGGUCAGAAUCCAGGUGAAAGACAACAAGAAAGAGUAAGCAAGUUAUCACUGGAUGCACCUGAGAGAAGCUUUGAGCCGUGGGGUACUGAUUCCCUUCCUACAGCACUUUUGUUGCCUUGUCUUCUCAUCAAUAAAAAGAUGAUGCUCCAGGUUUUUAAUUCAGUGACUCUCAUGUAGGGCCAAAAAUAUCUGACAGUAGCUUGACUUUUUAAAAUGCAAGCACUGUGCUCAGAUUUAUUAAUUUUUAUGUUAUGAAUAUUUAAACAAGCUCAGCCCGA
rnacentral:lncRNA from 1 species